rnacentral:tRNA from 1 species
AGAAACUUAGGAUUAGCCUAAAACCGAGGGCCUUCAAAGCCCUAAACAGGGGAUACUCCCCUAGUUUCUG